rnacentral:lncRNA from 1 species
GUUCGCCUGGCUCCAGAGAGUCCUGACAUAAGGUGAAAAAUACAUCCAGUAUGUCAGAGCGUAGCCUUUCCACAAGCCCAGCUCUACCUCGACUAGUCCCAAGAGGGGGCAGAUUCUGCAGUCAGCAUGUGCAGGAGGAGAGCACUGUGUGGGGGAAAGAAUGGAGAAGGAUCACCCUGCCUCCACCCCUUGAAAACUGACAGGCCAUAGGGGCCUAGCUGGAAGCACUUCUGAAAGCAAUGCUGUGCUGAGAAACGCAAUGAAAAGAGCCAAGUUUAUUCUUGUUAUACAUGUUAAAGAUUUGACAAGGCUUCAAUAAAGAUACUGCUUUUUAACCCAGAAUUCACCAAACUUUUUUGACCACGUUAUGCUAUUUUUAGAGAAUGUGAUUUCAGAUGUGAUUAUUUGGAGCACACUUUGGGAAAUGGGGUUCUUGGCUCAUAUUAUCUCAAGAUAGGUCAAAUUCACUCUCUCUUCCUAACUUAAUUUAACAGAGCCAUGUAAAGUUUAAUGGGGAGGGCUGACUGUACUGGGUUAGAUAGUGUCCUCCCAAAUUCAUGUCCUUCCUGGACUCUCAGGAUGUGACCUUAUUUGGGAGUAGGGUCAUUGCAGAUGUAAUUAGUUAAGAUGAGGUCAUACUGGAGUGGGCGAACCCUUAAUCCAAUAUGACGAAGGCCCUCUAAGAAGAGGAAAGGAGACACACAGACAGACACACAAAGGAGAAUGCCAUGGAAUACGGAGGCGGAGAUGGAAGUGAUGUGUCUAGAAAACAGGGAACACCGAAGAUUGCUGGCAACGUCAGAAGCUAGGAGAAGCGCAUGGAAUAGUUUCUUUCCUAGAGCCUUCAGAAGGAACAUGGCCCUGCUGACACCUUGAUUUUGGAUUCUAGCCUCCAGAACUGUGAGAGAAUAAAUUUCUGUGGCUUAAAGCCAUCCAGUUUGUGGUAAUUUGUUAAGGCAACACCAGGAAACUAAUACAAUGGACAUGUCUCAAAAUUGAAGAAAUAUUAGAUUUUGCAAACUUGCAAACUUGAAGAUCAUUCAAUGAUAAAAAGUAAAUGAACUGCUGAUACAUAAAAAAACCACAGAUGAAUCUCAGAUUAAUUAUGGUGAGUGAAAGAAGCCAGAUGAAAAAGAGUACUUACUGUAUGUUUCCAUCAUUAUAAAAUUCUAACUGUAAACUAAUCUACGGUGAC